rnacentral:rRNA from 1 species
CCUACGGGAGGCAGCAGUGGGGAAUAUUGGGCAAUGGACGCAAGUCUGACCCAGCAACGCCGCGUGAAGGAAGAAGGCUUUCGGGUUGUAAACUUCUUUUAAGGGGGAAGAGGAGAAGACGGUACCCCUUUAAUAAACCACGGCUAACUACGUGCCAGCAGCCGCGGUAAUACGUAGGUGGCACGCGUUGUUCGGAUUUACUGGGGGUAAAGGGCGUGCAGCCGGAGAGACAAGUCAGAUGUGAAAUCCACGGGCUCAACCCGUGAACUGCAUUUGAAACUGUUUCCCUUGAGUGUCGGAGAGGUAAUCGGAAUUCCGUGUGUAGCGGUGAAAUGCGUAGAUAUAAGGAAGAACACCAGUGGCGAAGGCGGAUUACUGGACGAUAACUGACGGUGAGGCGCGAAAGCGUGGGGAGCAAACAGGAUUAGAUACCCGAGUAGUC